GGGUUCCGCGCCGGUCCCGCCCUACGCACGGCGGCCCGACCGGCUCCAUAUGAGGUGGCUCCUGGGGAAGCGGCUCCUGGGGAAGCGAGCGAUCUCCACGCCGCGGGCGGGCCGGAGGCCUCGCCGGCAGGGGCCGCCAGUCCCUCCGAGAACUCUUCUGGGAGCGAUCGAGUGUACCGCUAGAGCGCCCGCCCGCAGCGCCGCUCCGGCCGGUGGCGCGCGCCCCUCUUGGUGGGCGGGCCCGCGCCCCCGGGUGCGCGCGGUAAGGCUGGGCAGGCGCCGCCAUGAUGAACAGCGGCGGUAUCGGGGUCCCGUUGGGCUUCCCCCUGGGCCCUACGUCCGUCAUCCAGGUCACCAACCUCUCCUCGGCCGUGACCAGCGAGCAGAUGCGGACGCUCUUCGGCUUCCUGGGAGAUAUCGAGGAGCUGCGUCUUUAUCCCCCGGACAACGCACCUCUUGCUUUUUCCUCCAAAGUAUGUUAUAUAAAGUUUCGUGAAGCAUCAAGUGUUGGUGUGGCCCAGCAUCUAACUAACACGGUUUUUAUUGACAGAGCUUUGAUAGUUGUGCCCUGCGCAGAAGGUAAAAUCCCAGAUGAAGCCAAAGCCCUGUCUCUGUUGGCGCCUGCUCCUACUAUGACAAGUCUGAUGCCCGGUGCAGGGUUGCUUCCUAUACCUACACCAACUCCCUUGACUACACUUGGUGUUUCACUUGGUACUUUAGGGGCUAUACCAGCAGCAGCAUUGGAUCCUAACAUUACGGCACUGGGAGAAAUACCACAACCACCAAUUAUGGGAAAUGUGGAUCCAUCCAAAAUUGAUGAAAUCAGGAGAACAGUCUAUGUUGGAAACUUGAAUUCUCAGACUACCACAGCAGAUCAGCUGCUUGAAUUCUUUAAGCAAGUUGGAGAAGUCAAAUUUGUGCGAAUGGCAGGUGAUGAGACACAACCAACACGAUUUGCUUUCGUGGAAUUUGCAGACCAAAAUUCUGUACCUCGAGCUCUUGCCUUUAAUGGAGUUAUGUUUGGGGAUCGGCCACUGAAGAUAAAUCACUCCAAUAAUGCAAUAGUGAAGCCUCCUGAAAUGACACCACAAGCUGCUGCCAAGGAGCUAGAAGAAGUGAUGAAGAGAGUAAGGGAAGCUCAGUCUUUUAUAUCUGCUGCUAUUGAGCCAGAGUCUGGAAAGAGCAGUGAAAGAAAAGGCGGUCGAUCUCGUUCCCAUUCUCGUUCAGAAUCCAGGUCUAGCUCAAAAUCCCGAUCUAGAAGGAAAAGAUCACACUCAAAACACAGUAGAUCUGGCAAUAGAUCUCUCUCAAGACACAAGGACAGACGCAGAUCCCGAAGUCCUCUGAAAAAACGGUCUAGAUCUACAGAAAGAAGGAAAUCAAGAAGUCGCUCUCAUUCUCGGGACAAGAAAAGAGACAAAGAAAAGAUCAAAGAAAAAGAAAAGGCCAAAGAAAAAGAGAAAGACAGAGACCGAGACAAGGAGAAGGAUAGGGAUCGAGACAAAGACAGGGACAGAGAGCGAGAUAAAGAGAGAAAUAGAGAGAAGGACAAGGAGAGAGAUAAAGAGCGAAGCAAAGAUAGAGAAAGAGCCCGAGACAAAGACAGAGACAGGGACAAGGAUAAAGGUAGGGACAAGGAAAAGGAAAAAGAUAAAGAUAAGGAAAAAGACAAGGAAGAGGUAGAUCAUAACAAAGAAAAAGAAGAUACUGAGAAAGAAGGAGAGAAGGACAGAGAGAAGAUUAAGGACAAGGAGGGAGAUAAGGACAAAGGAGGGGACAAAGAAAAGGACAGAGACAAAGAAAAAGAAAAAGAUGGGGAUAAGGAGAAGGAGCGAGAAAAAGAGAGAGAUGAUAAAAAGAAGAAAGAUAAGAGAUCCAGAACACCCCCGAGAAGCUAUAGCUCUUCAAGAAGAUCUCGUAGCUCCAGCAGAGAAAGGCGUAAGAGGAAGAGCAGAAGUCCCUCCAAAUCUCCUAAAACAUCAAAAACAGCAAAAAGAAAGUCUUCACGAACUCCUUCUCCAAGAAGGUCAGUUUGAUGUAGACACAGAAGUUAAUGAUUAGUAAAGAUGGAAGAAUUGGUAGCAAUUUCAUUGUUUUACUGCCUCUGCACUAAUGAUUUCAGAUUAUUUCAGUUGGUCAGUAUGAUUCAGUUUUAAUUUAAAACUAAGUCAAAAUUUUAACCAAUUUGAGCUCUUGUGUUCUUUCAGUGGCAUAAUUUCAAAUCAAUCAGCAUUGCAGAUUUCUUCAAAUCAAUAAAAUUUCUUUCAGCUGGUACAGAUUAAAUUGCUUUUUGCUUUGCAGAUACGGUGUGUGGUGGUCAUAUCAAAUGUUUAGCUCUCUUCAGCCAAAAAAAAUGCCGUAUUCUUUGCAAAGGGAUUUUUGGUUAAAUUUUGGGAGGUUUUUUGAAAGUCCGUGCUGGGUGUUUAGUUUGCAGUCAAAUGGUUUUUCUUGUAGUUGGAUCAAAUCCUAAUUUGAAUAAAAAAUUUCUGAAACAGAAAUAAGAAAGAAAAAAAAAGAGAAAGAGAUACAAAUAAUGAAAGAAGAGAAAGAGAACGCUCUACUUCUAAGAAAAAAAGUAGUAAAGAAAAAGAGGGAAAGGAGAAGUCUGACAAAAGCACCACUACUUUGAAGGACAAAGAUAACAAUAACGAAGAUCAGAAUUCAGAAACUGACAAGGAAGUAGACAACAGAGAUACACAAAGGACAGAUGAAGUCAAGCUACAACAGAACGGAAAUUGUCAACCAAACGAAGAAAAUCUCUCAAUUAAAAUGGAAGAGGUUUAAAGCAAAGAAUGGACUUCUAAUUCAACUAAGGAAUGAAAUCCAAAGCAUUUUAUUUCCCAGAACGAGGAAGAAAAUGUCAAAGCAAUCAAACUGAACGUGUUGAUAGUACUAGUAGCUCCUCCAGUUCAUGUGAUAACUUUGUUGUCUUCUUGCUGUAAAGCAACAGGGCACCCGACCAGUAGUUAAUACCAUGAAAAGGCAGAUGCCAUCAGAACUAUUCAUCUCUGAAAAUCCAUGCAUUUCCAUGAUGGCUGUACUUGUAAAAUGAUUUAUGUUAAGUUUUACUAUAAGCUGUUACAAAUAACUAGAAACUGAAAGAUGUAAACCUGUACUUCCCAAAAAAAGCUGAAGAUAUGCAUUGAAGGUUGUUUAAAAUACUGCUUGUUGAUGACUUUUGUAUUGUUUUGCCCUGUAGGUUAAAAAAUCCACAAAAACUUCAAUGUGUGCUGUUUGAUGUGCUUGAAAAUAGUGCAUAAAUAUACGCACUUCCUUUCCUUGUAAAUGACAACUGUAGGGAAAGGGGGUUUAAGCAUAAACAUGGUUUUACUGUUCUUAUGUUAAAUACUCACAGAUUAGUAUGUUUUUUAUUUGCUCACUGCUUGAGAUUCUUAGGGUUUAUUAUUUGAAGUAAUUUCUUACUAAUAUCCCUGAAAUUAAUAUUUCUUUAAAGUAUUUGAGCAAUGCAUGUGCUUUUUCUGUUCCUAGAAGGAACAUUGCCAUGUUAUAGAUAUUAGGUUAGCUUACAGGGUUAUUUUGGGGUUGUUUUGUUGUUUUCUUUGUCCGUAGAGAAGUGAGCACAUCUCUAUGAUUAUACCAGAACUUAUAGCUUUGUUUUGCAAUGUACUGCAGUGUGUCUGUUCAGCUGAAAAUAGUACAGGUGCCAUUAAGAAAAUAAAUUUUUCCUUUUUGUUGAUAAAAUAUGGGAGCACAAGCAGAAGCUUUAGUGCCUUCUUAAAAUGUGGUAUUUUCUAGAAAUGUAUAUGUGCUGUUACACAUUUUUAGCUAAAUCUUAUAUGAUCUCUCUUGCUACUUUGCCACCACCAUACUGUAGACGAAAAUGCAAGUGACUUGCCAGAAUGGUUGUUUGAUUCACUUGUUAAAAUAGUGAAGCUCCAUUUUACUUUUAUUUUUUAUUCUUAGAAGAGAUUUAUAAAUAAGAGAAAAGAUGUAAUUUGGGGACCACCACUGUACAAAAGCAGUAGCUGAAUACAGAGUGUGCUCUGAUCACCUGCAUCAAAGAAAGCUCUUAAGACAUAUAACAUACAUUUGGAUGGCCUUAAUUGUUACCUCUCUGUUAUUUUUGCUGAUACCUGUUGGGCAAUGUAAAAGGAAUGUCAUGCUAAGAAAUGGGGGAUAAAUACUUUGAGGAAGAAGGUUCUAAUUUCACAGGGCUUAUAUAGGAGAUAUUCUUUUAUCAUUUUUUGUGGAGAAAGCAUGCAAGAAAAGAAUCACAAAACAAGUGGUUUUCUCUUGGCAAAACAUAGCUUUUGUUCUUUGAAGUAAUUUAAUUGGUUAUAUGAGAUUUCUGAUAAGUUACACUCUUAAGAUGUAAUUAUAGCUAAAAUUGCAUAGAUUAUUUUUAGUACAACUUAAUGCAAUCAAAUUAUUAAUUGCCUUACCUCAUAGGAAGUGUUAUUUCUUUCAGUUAAAAUAAAAAACUAAGUGUAUCGGCUAUUUGCUUUCUACUUGUUUUACUUUUCCUCCGCAUAGUUAGUUUUUGCAGUGGAAGGGAAGCAUAUUAUAGGAAUGAAAACUUUGCCCAACUCCUAAGGUAAUGAAAUCCAGUUUGAUUGUGAAGCUGCUUAAUCACUCAUUUUCUAUAAGAUUUAAUGUUCUUGCCACUGUGUACAUUUAAGACAACAGAAAAUGCUUUACCAUGUAAAGUAUAGAACAGCCAUUUUUGUGAUGUUUAAGCCACAUGCUGUUGGCUGGUAAACAGCUAAUUCUGAUAAAAGAAUAAAAAAUUGUAUGCUUACAGGAAGACUGUGAAAGAUUGUGUCUUGCAACAACAGCUGUCUUAUUUAUGAUGUGUAAGUAGCAUAGAGCAAAGAGAUUGUUUGUAUACUUGUUAUCUUUGGUACCAUUUCACUAAUAAAGUAAGUAUUUUAGAGGGAUGUUUCUGCUGGUACAUAUUUAUUAAAGGAUUAUUUUUAGACCAUUGGGAUUUACUCAUAGACCUUCUUUCAUUUUAAAUGUGGAUAUUAGUGAAAACAUAUGUGUAUUAUUUAUGUUUUCUUUGAAAAGCUAAAUUUGUCUGUUGGGAAGAACUAUAAUUCUUUAAGUGUAUCAUGUUUUAGCUGGUAUUAGUUUGGUUUCUUGAGUUUUUUUAUCCUGAAAUAGCAUAAUUCUAUGAUGUAUCAGUUAUAAAACAUGUAAAGGAAUGUGUACACUUAGCUAAGAAACAUGCCUUUGGAAGUUAAUAGUUAUGGAUGGCAGCCUUAACUUACUAAGUAGCUUUUCACCUGUGUGAGGCUAUAUGCAGCACAUUAUUUGUAUAUUAAUUAUGGUUCCCUUACAAAAGGUAUCUUGGGGUUUUUAAGGUUUUUGUUCAGGUGGCUUUGUUGGUUGGUUUUUUUGCUGAGGAAAAAAAGUAAACCAGAGCAACCAGCCACCAAACACACAUUUCUCCCCCUCCUCAAGUCAUAUUUUUUUGCAAAUACUUUGCAAGACACUUUUUAUUUUCUGGUUUUGUUUUGUAAAUACUUUGCAUAUCUAUGAGGUAGUUAAUCUAUCCAUGAUCUGUCCAUCUUAGCAGGUGUUCCUAAAAAGCCACCCCUUGAGAACUAUUAGUCUAUAAAAUGCUUAUCUCUGUGGAGGGUAGCUCACUUACAAACUGGUAACAUAGCACAGUAAUAAAGUUUCAGCCUGCUGCUGCAGGACUGAGAGCAUCAUCCACUGAAUGUGUUCAUCUUCCAUGGGAAGUCCAUUGCAUUCAUCAUUUUAACAAGCUUGUGUGCUCAGCUGCUGUGUCAGAUCAUCUGGUUUUGCACUUUGUAAAUGGGAUUAACUUGGGUAGAGGUUUUGAGAAGUGUGGUUCAUGGUAGCUGUAUUGUUUUUUACAGGUAGUUUAAUCUGAAUCAGCACUUACUUGAAAAUGUAAAUUGCUCAGAAGAGUGAGUAAUUGUAUAUUGCCAUUUUGCUAAGAUCACAUAAAGCACAUAAGCAUAAAUAUUCAUUAGUGCCCAUAGCUAUUUUCCAAGAGGGUUCUGCAUUGCAUUCUGAAAAAAGGUAGCAGAAGAGAAUUUGGUGGAUCAAACAGGAUGUCAAGCUCAAAAUAGAGGUGGCUUGUGGUUUAGAUGAUUUCAUCAAAGUCAAUGGAUUUAGAGGUAUGAGGCAUAGAAUUUUGUUUACAAACUCCAAUAGUAGUAUGGUAUGUAAAGGAUUUUUAGUUUUCAUAUGUUGAAAUUGGGGAUAAGGGAUUAUAAAAGCACUUGGUUAGAAGCUAGAAGUAUCUGAAGAAUACUUGGGAAAUACGUGAGAUGUGGGUUUUGACUAUUAGAUAAUCACCUGCUAAUUUUUUUAUGGGAGUUUCAGAUAGAUACAUCUGAACUAGCCUUAUGUUAGCUGGCUGACAGCAGCCUAUGUCCAGCUUGAAUUCUGAAAUGAGCUGUGGACACUUCAGUGCUGUUUGCUCCUAGAGGAAGUUAAAUUCAUAGUCUGUAGCAUGCUUUGCAUUGCGUAUUAGUGUUUAAAGCAAUAACCUGAAAUUAUGUUGAAACUCUUCAGAUGUGUUACAUAGUAGCUUCUCUCUUUUGCUCUUAGCUUGUACUGCUAUCUUGUAAUAGUUACUAAUUUACGGAAGUAAGUAAGUUUUAUUGUUGUUCUAAGGUAAAGAUAAUAAGUCCUGCUAUGUGCAUUAUAAAUUAUUGUAUAUGUAUUGCCAGUUCUUACUUUUCAUUGGUGAGUGUGACCCUUGCAAACAGUAAUGCUAUAAUGGUAUGUAUAUUGCCUACUUCUAGGUCUAAAGCAUCUCUGAAUCGCUUUUAGUGAAAGAAUAUCAGAGUUCAUGUAUUGUUAGAGGGAUAAAAGAAAUCCAGACACAAUAACCUUGGAUUUUGUAAAUGUCAGUGUGAUAAUAGCAUUGUAGUGGUAAAAUAGUCUUAAAGAUGUGAAUUCUGAAUCAUUGUCGGGACAUAUGCUGCUUGGUAAUUUCCAUUUUAUAGCAAUCAAAUGUCACUUUUGAUGUUACCUUAAUUUUGAAAGUGAAAAUUUGACUUAGCGUCAAAUGCUGAAAUUUAUAAAUGGCUAAAAUCAUGUCAAUCAGUAGACAGUUCAGAGAGAUGUAGUUUUCUCAGCAGAGACUGGAGUGUGGAGAAUUGAAUAUAUGUAAAUAUCAUUAAGUGCUAGAGCCUAAAGAGAAUCUGAAAUUUAAUUUUGUUUGCUAAUAGAUAAACAAGUUUUCUGUUUGUAGUUUAGCUUUAUUUUUAUAUGUUGAAAAGUAUAAUUAAAAUUAUAUUGAAAACUAAAA